rnacentral:rRNA from 1 species
GCUUAUGGCCUCAUUCACCCUGAGACUGCCCGAUCCUGACUGAGCUUGGAAGCAAAGCAGGGUUGAGUCCAAUUAGUACUAGGAUGGGAGACCACCUGGGAAGACUGGGUGCUGUAGGCU